ensembl:lncRNA
GGCCACCUCUGAACAAAACGCACAAGUUGAAUUGUCAAGACUGGGACAAGAAAUAUCUGAAGACAGAUUUUUCAAAGGUUUUAUGGACUGAUGAGAUGAGAGUGACUCUUGAUGGACCAGAUGGAUGGGCCUGUGGCUGUAUCAGUAACGGACAUAGAGCUCCACUUGGACUCAGACGCCAGCAAGGUAGAGGUGGAGUACUGGUAUGGGCUGGUGUUAGUAAAGAUGAACUAGUUGGACCUUUUGGGGUUGAAGAUGGCCACAAAAUCAACUCUGAAACCUGCUGCCAGUUUUUAGAAGACACUUUCUUCAAGCAGUGGUACAGGAAAAUCUUUCAAGAAGAAGAAGAACAUUCAAGAUCAUGAUUUUUAUGCAGGAUAAUUCUCCAUCACAUGCAUCAAAGUACUCCACUGCAUGGCUAGCCAGUAAAGGCCUUAAGGAUGAAAAAAAAAUAACGACAUGGCCCCCUUCCUCACCUGAUCUAAAUCCUAUUGAGAACCUGUGGACCCUGCUUAAAUGGGAUAUUUACAGUGAAGGAAAACGGUACACCACUCUGAACAGUGUUUGGGAGGCUGUGUUUGCUGCUGCACAAAAAGUUGAUCAUCAACAGAUCAAGACACUGACAGAUGAAUGGAAGGCUUGUGACAGUUAUUGAAAAGAAGGGUGGCUAUAUUGGUCACUGAUUUUUUUUAUUUUAUUUUUUUAUUUUUUGACAUGCCAGAAAUGUUUAUGACUUUCUUAAACAUUCAGGUUUAGGUUCAUUAACAUUUUGGAUUGACUGAGAGCACUGUAGUUGUUCAAUAAUAAAAUUAAUCCUCAAAAAUACAACUUGCCUAAUAAUUGUGCACACAGUGUACAGCUGAGGAUGGAGGACUUCCCCAGAGCGAACACUCACUCAAACCAAUGGCACAGAGACAAUAAUAACCACCAUUGAUGCUAUCAGCAAAGUGCCAGUCCAAUUUAUUUUGAGAGGUAUAUGUCUAUCUUCUCAUGUUUUCAUAUUUUUUUAAUAUUUCAAUCUUUUACAAUAUCAACCAUAUGCUCUGAAUUUAAAUUAUAGUUUAUAUUCGGGGUGAUCUUCACAGUGAGUGAAAAUAUUGUCUGUCCAAAGUUGCAUCACUAGUUUGAACUGUGUCAUGGCUCACCUCCAACAUAGACACUGAAAAAAGGAAUUCAAGCCUCAACAGAUUUAUUAAAAACACAAAGCUGGGAGUUGACGGUAAGGGGAUGGUUUAGGUUACCUGAUAUGGCAAGCUGGUGAAUGUUUCUGUACUGCCUCUGCUAUGAUUGGGCAGUCAGCUAAAAUCUGCCUACAGUUUA